GACCAGAAAAUAAAUGAAAAAUGAAACAACUUUGAGCGGUGGAUCACUCGGCUCGUGCGUCGAUG
rnacentral:rRNA from 1 species